UGUAAUGUGCCUGAGUAAAGGAUGAUUUUGAUGUAAUCAAUAAAGUGUUUACACC
rnacentral:tRNA from 1 species